GGACCAAGGAGUCUAGCAUGUGCGCGAGUCAUUGGGACUCUAAUAAACCUAAAGGCGCAAUGAAAGUAAAAGUCCGCCUUGCGCGGACCGAGGGAGGAUGGGAUCGUUUUACGACGAACCCCGCACUCCCGGGGCGUCUCAUUCUCAUCGCGAGAAGAGGCGCACCCAGAGCGUACACGCUGGGACCCGAAAGAUGGUGAACUAUGCCUGGUCAGGACGAAGUCAGGGGAAACCCUGAUGGAGGUCCGUAGCGAUUCUGACGUGCAAAUCGAUCGUCGGAACUGGGUAUAGGGGCGAAAGACUAAUCGAACCUUCUAGUAGCUGGUUCCCUCCGAAGUUUCCCUCAGGAUAGCUGGCGCUCGCAUUGCGAGUCUCAUUCGGUAAAGCGAAUGAUUAGAGGCAUUGGGGUCGAAACGGCCUCAACCUAUUCUCAAACUUUAAAUGGGUGAGAUCUCCGGCUUGCUUAAAUAGUGAAGCCGCGAGAUAUUCGGAUCAAUGAGUGCCAAGUGGGCCACUUUUGGUAAGCAGAACUGGCGCUGUGGGAUGAACCAAACGCCGAGUUAAAGCGCCAAAAUCGACGCUUAUGGGAUACCAUGAAAGGCGUUGGUAACUUAAGACAGCAGGACGGUGGCCAUGGAAGUCGGA
rnacentral:rRNA from 1 species